rnacentral:rRNA from 1 species
UGCCAGCAGCCGCGGUAAUACGGAGGGGGCUAGCGUUGUUCGGAAUUACUGGGCGUAAAGCGCGCGUAGGCGGGCUGGUCAGUUGGGGGUGAAAUCCCGAGGCUCAACCUCGGAACUGCCCUCAAUACUACCAGUCUAGAGUUCGGGAGAGGUGAGUGGAAUUCCUAGUGUAGAGGUGAAAUUCGUAGAUAUUAGGAAGAACACCAGUGGCGAAGGCGACUGUCUGGGCCAUUACUGACGCUAAGGUGCGAAAGCGUGGGGAGCAAACAGGAUUAGAUA